UUUUAUCAGUUCCAUUUGGUGUCGCUAGUGGUCUAACGCUUACAGCAGCUUUUAUGCUGUAGAGUCAAAGAAAUUUCAAACGCACAUGCAAUUUUAAUACACAUUUUAAAUUAAUAUCUGUUGAACCAGAAGGUAAUUUUACAAUCACCCUGGAAAUAUAGCAUAAGCUAGUCUAUAAAUUAGCAACGACAACAAAACCUCAAAUCAGUGGCUCGUCUGUAACGACGCGGAUUGAUAACAACCGCACAAUAUACGGAUUUGCAGGGAUGGCAGAAGACUCUAACUCUGUGAAAGCCGUGGAAAAGGAGUUAAAAGAUAAUCCAGGCUCAAGUGGAGAUGCGCUUGUGUGAGUACAGC